rnacentral:tRNA from 1 species
GUCUUCAUAGCUCAGAUAGUAGAGCGCUCGCUCGGGAAGCGAAAGGUCCUGGGUUCGAAUCCCAGUCUAGACA